UAUUGCACAAUGGGCGAAAGCCUGAUGCAGCAACGCCGCGUGCACGAUGAAGGCCUUCGGGUCGUAAAGUGCUUUUCGGGGAGAUGAGUAAGGACAGUAUCCCCGGAAUAAGGAUCGGCUAACUACGUGCCAGCAGCCGCGGUAAAACGUAGGAUCCGAGCGUUAUCCGAAUUUACUGGGCGUAAAGCGCGUGUAGGCGGUUCGGUAAGUUGGAUGUGAAAUCUCCUGGCUCAACUGGGAGAGGUCGUUCAAUACUGUCGGACUAGAGGGUGGUAGAGGGAGGUGGAAUUCCCGGUGUAGUGGUGAAAUGCGUAGAUAUCGGGAGGAACACCAGUGGCGAAAGCGGCCUCCUAGACCGCUCCUGACGCUCAGACGCGAAAGCUAGGGGAGCGAACGGGAUUAGAAACCCCGGUAGUCCUAGCUGUAAACGAUGUGAACUUGGCGUUGGUGGGGUAAAAGCCAUCAGUGCCGAAGCUAACGCGAUAAGUUCACCGCCUGGGGACUACGGCCGCAAGGUUA
rnacentral:rRNA from 1 species